UUAAUGUUUUGUGUUUGUUCAAGCCAGAUCCUUUUAUUUUGGUAGUGGUUUGCCUCCUUGAGAAAACUUUACUUCCUGCUCUUGCCAAUCAGGCUGAUCAUGUCCACCUGUGACCUUCUGUAUAUAUAGCCUGCAGUUAACCAUGCCCAGUGUCGGUUUGUCUUGUAUCCUGCCAUGUUCCAUGUCACCAGCUCAUCUGAAAUAACAGAGCUAGUGUGCUUCUGGGGCCCAGCCUCCAUGCCUGCAUUCCUCCCAGCCGAGAUGCUUUUCCUGGGGGCACCUCACAACAGGCAAAGCCCUUACGCUUUCACAUUGAGUGAGCUAUGAAAGAUGACAAUGCUGAUCCAUUGCCUGCUACAGCCUGCCCUGAAGAGG